rnacentral:rRNA from 1 species
GACGAACGCUGGCGGCGUGCUUAACACAUGCAAGUCGAACAGAAAGGCCCUGCUUUUGUGGGGUGCUCGAGUGGCGAACGGGUGAGUAACACGUGAGUAACCUGCCCUUGACUUUGGGAUAACUUCAGGAAACUGGGGCUAAUACCGGAUAGGAGCUCCUGCUGCAUGGUGGGGGUUGGAAAGUUUCGGCGGUUGGGGAUGGACUCGCGGCUUAUCAGCUUGUUGGUGGGGUAGUGGCUUACCAAGGCUUUGACGGGUAGCCGGCCUGAGAGGGUGACCGGCCACAUUGGGACUGAGAUACGGCCCAGACUCCUACGGGAGGCAGCAGUGGGGAAAAUUGCACAAUGGGCGGAAGCCUGAUGCAGCAACGCCGCGUGCGGGAUGACGGCCUUCGGGUUGUAAACCGCUUUCGCCUGUGACGAAGCGUGAGUGACGGUAAUGGGUAAAGAAGCACCGGCUAACUACGUG